UGGGCUUAGCAAAUACUUUUGACAACUAUUUGUAAAAUGUAAACUAGAGGCUCUCAAGAGCCUGUGUCGCUCACCUGUAUUUACUGAUGCCUUGAAAAUCAUGCAAAAUAAGGUUGAAUCAUAAUUAAUAGUGUUAGAUAUUAUAAUAUACUAUAACGAUAUCUAGGAUAAUAAAAAAAAAAACUGCAAAAUUUCCGUAAAAUCACUAAGUCAGGGGCAGCAACCCAACAACGGGUUGUAGGACUCGUCUGAAAAUUUCAGGGCAGAUAAAUCUAAAGUUAAUGAACAUUUUUGCAACCAGUCAGAUUUGAUCUUAAUACUUCAGAGAUAUAAACCAAAAACUGCAUUUUAUGUUCUUUCUUUUUUAUCCAUGUCUUCCAUGUUGGUUGUAUAGCAGGGUCAUCGAACAAAUUUUUAAAACUAUAUACCCUAAUGAUAAUUAUGGCCAAGUUUGGUUAAAUUUGUCUCAGUAGAUUCAGAGAAGAAUAUUUUUGUAGAGAUUACAAAAAUGUACGAAAAAUUGUUAAAAAAAGACUAUAAAGGGCAAUAACUCCCUAAGGUGUCGACUGACAAUUUUGGUCAUUUGUCAUGCCUAACAUAAUCCUCCACUUAAUCCAUCAUUUUUGGGAAAUUGUGUUUCCAAAAC
rnacentral:lncRNA from 1 species